CCGAGGUGAAUCGCCGACGGCCUCCCCACCUUAUUGGGUUCCAGGAACAUAUUGGUCUUGUGAUAUUCCAAGUCUGUAUUUUGGCAUGUCUUCUUUGGUUUCACAAACUUGUAUGAUUCGCCUAAAAUGACAUGAACGCAUCAUUCAAAAUGGUAGUGAUGAAAUGCAGUGACAAUUCAAACUUCCUC